rnacentral:rRNA from 1 species
AAUCAACGCUGGCGGCGUGCCUCAGACAUGCAAGUCGAGCGAUUAAACUUUCCUUCGGGAAAGAUAUAAAGCGGCGUACGGGUGAGUAACACGUAAGUAAUCUACCUUCGAGUGGGGAAGUAACAGUCGGAAACGACUGCUAAUACCGCAUAAUGCAGCGGCACCUAAUGGUGACAGUUGUUAAAGCAUUUAUGCGCUUGAAGAGGAGCUUGCGGCAGAUUAGCUGUUGGUAAGGUAAUGGCUUACCAAGGCUACGAUCUGUAUCCGGUCUAAGA